rnacentral:rRNA from 1 species
AUAUCAAUAAGCGGAGGAAAAGAAACCAACAGGGAUUGCCUCAGUAACGGCGAGCGAAGCGGCAAAAGCUCAAAUUUGAAAUCUGGCGUCUUUGGCGUCCGAGUUGUAAUUUGUAGAAGUCAACUUUGGAGGUGGCCUUUGCAUAUGUUCCUUGGAAUAGGACAUCAUAGAGGGUGAGAAUCCCGUAUAUGGCAGAGUGCCCACUUCUAUGUAAAGUGGCUUCCAAGAGUCGAGUUGUUUGGGAAUGCAGCUCUAAGUGGGUGGUAAAUUCCAUCUAAAGCUAAAUAUUGGCGAGAGACCGAUAGCGAACAAGUACAGUGAUGGAAAGAUGAAAAGAACUUUGAAAAGAGAGUGAAAAAGUACGUGAAAUUGUUGAAAGGGAAGGGCUUGAAAUCAGACUUGGUUUGUAGUGAUCAACUGUCUCUCGGGACUGUGCACUCGCUGCUUACUAGGCCAACAUCGGUUUUUGGGGUAGGAUAAUGACAAUUGAAUGUGGCUCUCUUCGGGGAGUGUUAUAGCCUUUGUUGAUACUACCACCGGGGACCGAGGACUGCGCUUCGGCUAGGAUGUUGGCGUAAU